CCCUUAGAUGUCCUGGGCCGCACGCGCGCUACACUGAGUGUCUGAGAUACGAGUCUGCCUGGUCCGGCAAGGUCUAGGUAAUCGCUAAAAGACACAUCAUGCUUGGGAUAGAUUAUUGCAAAUAUUAAUCUUGAACGAGGAAUUCCUAGUAAGCGCAAGUCAACAGCUCGCGUUGAUCACGUCCCUGCCCUUUGUACACACCGCCCGUCGCUACUACUGAUUGGAUGUUUAAGCGAGGUUCUCGAACUGCUAGCGACUUAGCUUCGGUGAGGUCGCAGUGUGGGAAGUGAACCUAGCUUUGGUGUCUAGAGGAAGUAAAAGUCGUAACA
rnacentral:rRNA from 1 species